GCCGGAAGUCAGGACCCAAGAAAGGAGCCCUGGGCUUUGGCUGGUGGUGCGCCGGUGCCAGGAUUGCUCUGUUGUGUACACCGAUUUUUUUCUGCUCAUCUACCUGGAGACUCCAGAGAGACAAUAGAUCAAUAGCAAUUUCUUCCCUGCUGGAAAAUGGCCAGCUGCAGCUUCCCACAAGCAACCCAGGCUGCCAGGCGAGUUUGCAACGCGACCUCCCGUGGUGCCAAUGACUGCAGAAGUGGAGAACAUCUGUCUCGGGGGAAAAGGUGGGCUGAGGACAAACAACACCUGAAGAUAUGAGAUGAGCUCACCUAGAACAGCCUGAAGUCAAGCUUGCAUCUGACUAUUUGCACAGGCACACAUGGCUGAGACAUCCAUAAAGAACCGUAAUAUUGAUUAUGCCCAAGGCAGACUAAAGCGUUAACCUCACAGUUGGCUUGUUCGUAGAAGUGAGUCUGGCUGAAGCUGAGGUCAGAGUAACUCGCACCCAAAUUCCGUUCCCAUGACUAAAACCUUCUUACCAGAAGGACAAUGUUCUAAUUACAACCAUAUAUUUUGUCUAUCCUUUUCCUAAUUGGAGAAUGCUUUGUCUUGUCCUUUAUGAGCCCUGUUUACAUUAAUUUCCAUAGAAAC
ensembl:lncRNA